rnacentral:rRNA from 1 species
UACGUAGGGUGCAAGCGUUAAUCGGAAUUACUGGGCGUAAAGCGUGCGCAGGCGGUUAUGUAAGACAGGUGUGAAAUCCCCGGGCUUAACCUGGGAACUGCAUUUGUGACUGCAUAGCUAGAGUACGGUAGAGGGGGAUGGAAUUCCGCGUGUAGCAGUGAAAUGCGUAGAUAUGCGGAGGAACACCGAUGGCGAAGGCAAUCCCCUGGACCUGUACUGACGCUCAUGCACGAAAGCGUGGGGAGUAAACAGG